UCUCCAAUGUAACUGUAAUUUGAGUACCUGAUCAUGUUAAAUUAAGAAGAAACUUGUUGCUGUUCAAAUAUUCAAAAAUUUCUUUUUAUCUUUCGCUUCUUUGCAAUCACGAGGGCAAUCUGGGACUGAAGAGGACACUGGACAAAGAAGAUCACCAUUGCAGCCACUGGAAUGUCACCCUGGGUUUUGAGGACUAUAUUACUGAAGAGGACCGUUGAACAGCUAGGGUCACUGCCAAGCUCCUAGCCCAAAAUUGCAAGGAGGGCUAGCAACAUCACCAAGGAGUAUUACUGGACCUCGGGAUUGCUGGUGAAGUUGCCAAAGAUUGUCAAGUAUUACCUUAACAAUCAAAUUUAUCGCCAAGGUGGCCAACGAUAUUAACGAAGAUGUAUCCCUGGACAACGAGGGUCGUCGCCAGUCACCAAGAUCAUAGCCAAGCAUUUGUCAGGUGUUAACCUUAAACAUUUAAAUGCCUAAACAUAUUUGCUUUUUGUCAUUUUAGGAGGGUCAUUAGCACCACCAAGGAAGAACAUGGCCGCUGGGCGUACCAUUAUUUACUGCCAGUGUCUUCAAGAUGGACCCACGACACGAGCGAGGGGAUACUAAACAACGUGUGUGUGCCACCAAAAUAAUCGCCAAGACUUGUAAGGUGAUAACCUUUAAAUAUUUAGUAUAUAACCGUGUGGUUUUGUGUGUAUUUAAGAGGACUGACAGCACAAUUGAGGGAGAUUGCUGUACUCCGAGGAUCGUUGAUGGGCCUAUCGGAAUUAUCGUCAACGACGUCAAGUCAUUCAUUUCGAAAUCUUUAUUUGUGUCUGUACUGCCACUACACUCGAAGAGGACCACUGGAUAACGAGGGGAAUUAAGUAAAGUUUACUUACCAGAAUGUUACGAGACGACUACAGAGGAGAGAUAUCUGUUAUUGUGGAUGUUCAACCUGGUACUUCAAGCCCACAAGAAGGAUGGUAAAUAGCUGAUGAAACGUG